ensembl:lncRNA
UUUUUUUUUUUUUUUUUUUUUUUUGGUCUUUUUAGGGCCUCAUCUUGGGCAUAUAGAUGUUCCCAAGCUCAAAUCAGAGCUUCAGCUGCAAGCCGACACCACAGCCACAGCAACAUGGGAUCUGAGCUGCGUCUGCGACCUAUACCACAGCUCACGGCAACAUCACUUAAUCCACUGAGUGAGGCCAGAGACUGAUCCUGCAUCCUCAUGGAUACUAGUCAGGUUUGUUUCUGCUGAGCCACAAUGGGAACUCUUAUCUUCUAGAUUUUGUUGAGAGUUUUUCAGAUUCCCAAGUUAGAAAAUUUGGGAUUAGAAUUCUCCUGGUCAUGGACUUGCCAGUAAAGACAAGUCCUUAGAAAGUAGGGACAGUCCCCAGCUAUGUACUGAGAGUUCAGAUAAUCCCAAGAGACACCACAGAGCCUGGCUUCUCUCUUUCAGAAAUAGUCUAUCAAUUCUGUCAGGAAAGACAUAGAUGGCACAACUAGACAGUACAGGGGAUCCUGAAAAAUGUUACACAAGCUCUCUUACACUGGGUUGAAUGUAUGUUCUAGAACAACGCUAUACAAAAGAGAUAGGAUGCAAACCAAACACUGAGUUUAAAAUUUCCUAGAACAAGUAACAUAGGAUCCGAGCCAUGUCUGUGACCAAUACCACUGGUCACGGUAAUGCCAGAUUCUUAACCCACUGAGCAAGGCCAUCCAUGAGGAUGGAACCUGCAUCCUCAUGGAUACUAGUCAGGUUCGUUACCACCGAGCCAUUAUGGGAAAUCCAAGAGAGUUGAUAUUUCUAACAAAACUAGGUUAAAUGCUUUGGAAAGCCAUUAUCCAAUAUUAUGGAAUAAUGUGAGAAAAAAAAUGGCAAAAGAGGGAAAGAAUCACAAUUUUUUUUUAAAUCAGUCAAGGUCUCUAUAUUCAAGCUGCUUUGAAAGUAGCUAACAUUAAAUCUGAUUCUCUUCAAAAAUAGCAGAACUGGAAGGGGCAGGGCUCUAAGAGGGGCAGACCGCACAGAAAGGACAGGGAGGUGACACAUCAAGCAGGCCUGCAUGCAAGGACAAGGCCCAGCUCGUCAGCACAAAGCUAGCGGAGAAAUCAACAUUUUACUCAGAGUAUCUUAAAAAAUGCCUUAUGUAGGCAUGGAUCGGAGUCACGAUUUUCUCUCUGAACUGGGUUUCUCAACUAUCCAGCCCUCUCCCCACCAUCUCUGACUUUGUGAGAAGAGCGAACUGCCAUUCUGCCCUAGCCUUUCCUCAGGUUGUGGAGUCAGAAGACAAAAGGAAAAGCCAAAAAAUCUGAGGCAGAAAACAAAAACAAAACCUCCUCUCCUGUUGGCUUUUCCCUUAAGCCAUCCCCCUGUAUCUGUCGUUUCAUUCAGGCCCCCAAUGCUUAUUAGCAUCUCCGUCUACUUAUCUCUCCCUAUCUGCACUUCAUAAUCCCUCCAAAAGUCACACAGGCUGGUUUCCAUGAAGGGGAUUCAUGAUCCCCCAUAUUAAGCCCCACAGUCUCCAUCCACUGAGUUAUUUUCUAAAGCAGGGACACAGAGCCACACUGGUUCCUAUACUCUUGGGCUGGGUUUUCUUCCUAUUUCUCUGACUACUUAUUUUCCCUCUUUUUCAGCGGCACCUUUGCCUUCUUGGGCAGAACUCAAGGUCUUCAACUUCAGUUUGUUCUCUGCUCCUUGCUCACAACUCUUUUUUUUUUUUUUUGCCUUUUUUAGGGCUGCACCUGCAGCAUAUGCAAGUUUCCAGGCCAGGGGUCAAUACGGAGCUGCAAAUUGCCAGUCGACAGAGCCACAGCCACAGUGAUUCAGGAUCUGAGCAACAUCUGAGACCUACGCCACUGCUCACAGCAACACCAAAUACAUAACCCCCUGAGCAAGGCAAGGAUGGAACCUGCAUCCUCAUGGAUACUAGUCAGGUUCUUAACCCACUGAGCUACAGUGGCAACUCCCAUCACAACUCCUUAAUCAACUCCUUGAUCACCUCAGACCUCUAGAGUGUUGCUAAGGGUAUCUGGGUGCCCCCGGCUCAAGGCAUGCACUUUGCCACUGGCAGGGGCUGAAUAAAAGCUGUAAACAAAUGAUUAACUGCUACCAUCAACCUUCACUUCUCCCCAGGCUCCUAAUCUACAUACUUGGGAGCCAUUGCUGGGGCGGUGGCCAAAAGAGACAGUUAAUUAAUUCUCUUUUCCUUUAUCAAGGAUACAGAAAAGUGACCAUGAAAUAUCAGUGAUGGUAAUAAAACCAUAAACAUUAUAUGAUAAACCAUAUAAGGCAUGACUUACAUAAUACUGGGAGCAGAGCAAGCCCUCCCUAAAUGGUAGCUUUGUUUAACUGUGCUUUGGAUGUCACCUCAGGGAUGUCACCUCAAAUUUGUCCAAACCUUAAUCCAUUUCCUUAGACUCAAAUAGUGUUUCUCUUCCUGUGGCCCCUGCUUCAGGAACUAAAUUAUUCACCGAGACUAGUAAUCAAUUUCUGAGUCAUUUUCUACUCCCUUCUCAACCCUCAUGUCCCAUAAAUUACCAAAUCCUGCCCAUUCCCCCCAAAUCUACAAUCGAAAUCUUAAAGCAGAGCUGUAUCCCGGUUCAUGUUCCCACAGUUGCCGACCUAUUUUGAACCCUGCAGUAGGCCCCUCACUGGGCUAUUGUAUGUGGAUUGCUUUGCAGUGUCACUCCCCCUCGCUUCUAAAGCACCCUUAUGUGGUAGCCAGUUAUGUUUCUACGUAAUAAUGUCUUUAAAGGGCUCAGAAAUUGCCAAUGGCUCUUUUCUACUGAAGAAUCAAUCCAGGCUUCUAAGCAAAUGAAUGGUUUCACCUCAACCCACCUCUGCAAUCUCCCCUCCCAGGUGCAGGCACUUUCUCAGAUUUCCACUCCUCCAGUCAUUGUACAGCCUCUUGGGUCCAUUUCAGACCAUAAAAUCCCACCUGUACUCCAAAGCCUAUUAUCACUUUCCAGGUGUUCUCCUGAAGAUACUUCCUUUGGAACUCAGAGAUUUCUUCUCCAACUCUCUGCAUUAUUUCCUCAAAACUGUCAUAAACCAUGUAUUUUUCCCAUGUUUAAUAACAAUUUUUUUGUGUGUGUUUGGUCUUUUUAGGGCUGCACCCAUGGCAUAUGGAGGUUCCCAGGCUAGGAGUCUAAUCGGAGCUUUAGCUGCUGGCCUAUGCCAGAGCCACAGCAACGCCAGAUCCAAGCUGCAUCUGUGACUACACCACAGCAAUGCCAGAUCCUUAACCCACUGAGCGAGGCCAGGGGUCGAACCCGCAACCACAUGGUUCCUAGUCGGGUUCGUUUCC